UACGGGGGGUGCGAGCGUUGUCCGGAAUCACUGGGCGUAAAGGGCGCGUAGGUGGUUUGAUAAGGGUGUGGUGAAAGUCCGGGGCUCAACUCCGGAUCUGCCGUGCCGACUGUCAAACUCGAGGGCUGUAGAGGCAGACGGAAUUCCGGGUGUAGCGGUGGAAUGCGUAGAGAUCCGGAGGAAGACCGGUGGCGAAGGCGGUCUGCUGGGCAGUUUCUGACACUGAGGCGCGACGAGCGUGGGGAGCAAACAGG
rnacentral:rRNA from 1 species